rnacentral:rRNA from 1 species
UACGAAGGGGGCUAGCGUUGCUCGGAAUCACUGGGCGUAAAGGGUGCGUAGGCGGGUCUUUAAGGCAGAGGUGAAAGCCUGGAGCUCAACUCCAGAACUGCCUUUGAUACUGAGGAUCCCGAGUUCGGGAGAGGUGAGUGGAACUGCGAGUGUAGAGGUGAAAUUCGUAGAUAUUCGAAGAACACCAGUGGCGAAGGCGGCUCACUGGCCCGAUACUGACGCUGAGGCACGAAAGCGUGGGGAGCAAACAGG